GGAGAGGUGGCUGAGUGGCCGAAAGCAGUGGUUUGCUAAAUCACCAUGCAGCCUAUGCUGCAUCAUGGGUUCGAAUCCCAUCUUCUCCA
rnacentral:tRNA from 1 species